rnacentral:rRNA from 1 species
UGGCUCGAGUGGCGAACGGGUGAGUAACACGUGAGUAACCUGCCCUUGACUUUGGGAUAACUUCAGGAAACUGGGGCUAGUACCGGAUAGGAGCUCCUGCUGCAUGGUGGGGGUUGGAAAGUUUCGGCGGUUGGGGAUGGACUCGCGGCUUAUCAGCUUGUUGGUGGGGUAGUGGCUUACCAAGGCUUUGACGGGUAGCCGGCCUGAGAGGGUGACCGGCCACAUUGGGACUGAGAUACGGCCCAG